rnacentral:rRNA from 1 species
AGCGAACGCUGGCGGCAGGCCUAACACAUGCGAGUCGAACGAACUCUUCGGAGUUAGUGGCGGACGGGUGAGUAACACGUGGGAACGUGCCUUUUGGUUCGGAAUAACUCAGGGAAACUUGUGCUAAUACCGAAUGUGCCCUUCGGGGGAAAGAUUUAUCGCCAUUAGAGCGGCCCGCGUCUGAUUAGCUAGUUGGUGAGGUAACGGCACACCAAGGCGAGGAUCAGUAGCUGGUCUGAGAGGAUGACCAGCCACACUGGGACUGAGACACGGCCCAGACUCCUACGGGAGGCAGCAGUGGGGAAUCUUGCGCAAUGGGCGAAAGCCUGACGCAGCCAUGCCGCGUGAAUGAUGAAGGUCUUAGGAUUGUAAAAUUCUUUCACCGGGGACGAUAAUGACGGUACCCGGAGAAGAAGCCCCGGCUAACUUCGUG